rnacentral:rRNA from 1 species
UGGGGAAUAUUGCACAAUGGGGGAAACCCUGAUGCAGCGACGCCGCGUGAACGAAGAAGGUAUUCGUAUCGUAAAGUUCUGUCCUAUGGGAAGAUAAUGACAGUACCAUAGAAGAAAGCUCCGGCUAAAUACGUGCCAGCAGCCGCGGUAAUACGUAUGGAGCGAGCGUUGUCCGGAAUUAUUGGGCGUAAAGGGUACGCAGGCGGUUUAAUAAGUCGAAUGUUAAAGAUCGGGGCUCAACCCCGCAAAGCAUUGGAAACUGAUAAACCUGAAUAGUUGGAGAGAAAGGGGAAUUUCCAGGGGAGUGGUGAAAUACGUAGAUAUUAGGAGGAAUACCAGUAGCGAAGGCGACUUUCUGGACACAAACUGACGCUGAGGUACGAAAGCGUGGGGAGCAAACAGG